AUGGGAAGCACAAACACCCCGGCCACGCGCCACGCCGCGGACACGGUGGGGGUGCAGCAAGGCUCUCACGUGUUCGAAAUCUCAGGGUACAGCCUGCACCGGUCGCUACUACACGGCGGCUGCGCAACGUCGGACGCGUUCUCCGUCGGAGGCUACAACUGGCAAAUUCGGGUCUACCCCUGGGGUGUCUUCGACCUCGAUUAUUAUAGAGACUACGUGGGGGUGUUCCUCGAUUUAUGCAGCGACCACAGGGUGACGGCGUCCUUCAGGUUCAGUCUGGUAGACGUCACCGGAUCUUCGCCGCCGCACACGAUGACAAAGACGCGCGAAUUCGGUUCCGGCGGUCGCAGCUGCUCCGGCGAUUGGGUGUUCAAGAAAAGGAGCGAGCUGGAGGCGUCGCCUUACCUCCGCAACGAUCGCUUCACCAUUGAGUGCGUCGUCACAAUUGUCGAGGAUGAGAAAUCGUUUGUCGAGGAGGCCCCGCCGUCGGACAUCACGGAUCAUCUUGGGAAGCUGCUGCAGGGGAAAGAGGGGACGGACGUGAUUUUCGAGGUCCAAGGAGAGGCCUUUCCCGCCCACAAGCUGGUGCUCGCGAUGCGAUCGCCGGUGUUCAAAGCAGAGCUGUAUGGCGCGAUGAGAGAGAAGGACAUGAGUCGUAUUGCCAUCAAUGACAUGCAGCCCGUUGUGUUUGAGGCCCUGCUUCAUUUUAUAUACACCGAUUCACUGCCUGCCAUGGAUGAUCUUGGACGUGAUGACUAUAGAGAUAUUGUCAGCCAUUUGCUUGUCGCCGCGGAUCGGUAUGCCAUGGAGAGGCUGAAGAUUAUAUGUGAAAACAUCCUUUGUAAGAACAUCGAUGCGAAGACGGUGGUGACUACGCUGGCUUUGGCUGAUUGGCAUCACUGCGGCAGGUUGAAUGAUGCAUGCAUUCGGUUUAUUGCCACUUUGGAUACACGGGGAAUGGAUGACAUGAUGGCAAGCCAAGGGUAUGUUACGCUCAAAACCACAUGUCCAUUGGCCUUAGUUGAACUGUUGGAGAAGACAAGUAGGCUCGCCAAAUCGAAGUCAUCUAUUCAUAUUGGUAGUUUAUUAGUGCAUGCAUACUAA
rnacentral:rRNA from 1 species